UACGAAGGGUGCAAACGUUGCUCGGAAUUAUUGGGCGUAAAGCGCACGUAGGCGGCUUUGCAAGUCGGAUGUGAAAUCCCUCGGCUUAACCAAGGAAGUGCAUCCGAAACUGCAGAGCUUGAGUACUUAAGAGGAUCGCGGAAUUCCCGGUGUAGAGGUGAAAUUCGUAGAUAUCGGAGGAACACCAGUGGCGAAGGCGGCGAUCUGGGAAGAUACUGACGCUGAGGUGCGAAAGCGUGGGGAGCAACAGG
rnacentral:rRNA from 1 species